rnacentral:lncRNA from 1 species
GACGGGGCCGCGCGGGGGCGCGCGUGCGUCCUUGCGCCGGGUGCACACGCUGGGAAGUUCACACGUGCGCAACCGGCUGGGAUGCGACCAGCCCGUCCUCCGCAGAGCAGAACAAAGCGGUGUGCAAGGCAGCGGGGGCUUGAGCGAGUGCGGCGCUUUCCGGGCGCGAGUGACGGAGUCGCGCUUAGCCGCGCCAAGGGGUCGCUGCAGGCUGCCCCGCCCUUCCGAGGGACCCAGUCCUCGCUGAGACGGCCUGGGCUUGGCCCGACCCUGGAGCCGCCAGGAAAGAUGACUGACCAAGAACACAAGAAAGUCUCCCGCCUUUUAGACGAAGACGUUUGUUAGAAUCUCAGAGUUUUCGCUGCGCUCCGGGGAUUCAGAGAUCAUCCAAGCCCAGAAAUGAAUGAACUGUAGAUUAGCAGUGACCUCGAGUUUUAAAAGCAACACCACCCUCUAGUGAGAGUCUGAGAACUACAUCCAUAACACCGAAAGCGCUCCCAGGCGACAGGCAAAGGACAAGGAGGGCAAAUUUCAGUCUGCCCUUCCGACCAACAGGCUAGAGGAAGGAAACAGAGGGCGCCCAACUCCACAUGUAAGUGUACGUAUAGAGCGAGUGCAGGAGCUCUCAUGCAUGUUACGUAGGAAAUAUUUGUCCUUCUAGCCUCACAAACAC